UGGCACUAACAAGAUGGGAACCGUAACUCAAGCCCUGUCAGAUCAGGAGACAAGGGAGGCAAGGUCAUUUCUGGUAUGAUAAGAACCAUAAUUCUAAGGAAGGACAAGUUUGUUAAGAUAUGAAAACAAAAUUUGAUGGCUUGGCAAAGACAGGAGACAGAGAGGAGGAGCUAAUGACUCAAGUCCUAUGGUAAUCAUGGACAAGGAUGGAGUCAGAGAAGCGGGCACCUGGACACUUUUUAUUUACUACCCAUCACUGUGUCAGAACGGACUCCAAUCCAAAGGACUCCUUACUCAGACCCCGCCUCUUCAUUUUGUACAUCCUUUCAAGCCAAGGGGAGUAGGUAUUGAUAAAAUUCCUGGAAGAAAGAAAAGUUGCAUCCCAACUGAGAAGGGUCGUUAUUAGUUACUGAAACUCCUGUAAGAAUUGCUGAACACGGUUAGACUCAUUACACCAAGGUAAAAGGACCCAUUACUGGACCAGGAGGAGCAGAGGAAGUAGAGACCAGACAAACAAAAUAUAAUUGAGAAAAAAUUCCCACUGCAAAUCCUCUGCAGGUAAAAUUGAGCAGAGAGGUUUAAACCCAAGAACCCUCUUGACUUAAGACUCUGACUUCUGGAUUAAUGUAAUGAAUUCUGAAGAAUAUCUACAGCGGGGAUAUUGGGUCCUGGGAGACUGCUUGGGAUUGCUAUUUAUUACUGCCAGUAUAAUUAUGUUAUACUUGGGUAUCUUCACAAAACUGUGAUCACCAGCAGGAUUUCUAAUUCUGUAAAAUAUCUUCUUGUCUUCUCUCUCAUACCCACUGAUGACUCUCCUUGGACUCCUAUGCAACAGGACCAGAGACUCUUAACUUGGUUGUUUGACCCUUGGUACUUGGAAGUAGAUUGGGAGAUUAAGUGGGUAUGGUGGGAUGAGAGAAACCUUAAUGGAAAGAGAAUUCACCUAAAGGAAAUUUUCUAGGAAUCACAGGGACUUUACCCAGAUCCCUAUCCAUUUAGGCUUAUUUGUGUAAAGGUCUAGGACCAUUCUUGGUUCUGGAAGACACAUAGGGACCAGGUUCCGCUGUAGAAAGGUUGGUGAUUUGGGAUAAUCAAAUUUUAUCAUGGUCCUUGGGGAAGCAUGGUUUUUCUAAUUUAUACCUGACUUUUAAUGAAACAACCCUAAUCCCACAAUUCCAAUCAGGGGGAAUGGAGGACAGUAAAUAUCUCCAACUGAUGGAAAUCAUUGCUGAAAGUUUUUAAGUUGCUGGAUUUGUGUUAGUCCAUGACAGUUUGAGGUGGCCUUAGGUACCAAUGCCUUUGCGUACAGCCUGGAUUCUCAGUACUAGAUUUUGGUCACCUGCUGAGAAACAUAAGUGGCACUUGGUAGAGUAAGGCAUAUAUUGUCUGAAUCAAACUGGAGAGUGAGUGGCUGGGAGAGAGUAAAUGUAAUUGGACUAAGUGCAGAAAAUAUUUAUAAAUAAUGCUACUAACUGCAAUAGGUACAUUUGGAUUGGAUUCAUGUCCAACUAUGCCAUGGUGGCACCUGAGUCCCAAUAAUAAAGGGAGCAGGAAGGAAGAAAAUACUUCUCAAUAGUACAUGCAGUAGCACUGAGGAAUUAUUGAGCACUCUAUUGUCAGGAGAUUUGAUCAAUCUGGCAGAAUAUUGUGGACAAAAUAAAAGGGAUGGGGUAAUUACUAGCCCAUAUUCAUUUAUAGAAUGGGGAUAGAAAAACAACUCAGCAAAGUAUUUUUAGGGAUGCUAGAGUAAGGAAAAUAGAACAUCAAGCCCUAUUGUGCAAAGUUGUGUCUGGAAGAAUGAUCAGCAGUUAUAGAAAUGUAAAUAUUUGUAGAAUGGAACUUAUGCUAUUGAAGGUUGUUCCCUAGGACUCCAGGAUGCACAGUAUUACCCAGAUGCAAAGAAUACCUCUACAAUAUUUUCACAAGAACAACCAGCCUUAAGGGGCU
rnacentral:lncRNA from 1 species